rnacentral:rRNA from 1 species
AUGGACCCCGCCGCGCCGGACCCCGACGGCGGCGGCCUCCCGCCGCGCGGAUCCGACGCCGCCGACGUCGCCGGCAACACGUGGGACCUCGCCCCCUUCUCGCCGCCGCCCGCUGCGCUCCGCGGCGGCGAGCUCUACAUCUACCGCAACGCCUACAACCUGGUCCCGCGCUCCAUCGGCGAGUGCCGCGGGGGGCUCAGGGCGCUCAAGUUCUUCGGCAACGACGUCGAGGUGCUGCCCCCGGAGGCCGGGGACCUGGACGGGCUCCAUAGCCUCCAGCUCAAGGUCUCCGCGCCCAGGGUCUCCGGGGCCGUGCUCCGGCGGAUGCGGGCGCUCAGGGAGCUCGAGCUCUCCAUGGUGCCGCCCAGGCCCUCCGCCUGCUCCAUACUCGUCGAGAUCGCCGGCCUCAAGUGCCUCACCAAGCUCACCAUCUGCCACUUCUCCAUCAGGUUCCUCCCCCCUGAGAUUGGUUCCCUCAGGAAGCUCCAAGAACUUGAUCUGUCUUUCAACAAGCUGAAGAACUUGCCUAACUGGAUAACCGAGUUGCGGGCCCUGAAAUUCCUCAAAGUGACUAAUAAUAAGUUGGUAGAUUUACCAUCAGGGAUCUCUUCUUUGAGAUGUCUUGAAAGCCUUGACUUAUCGAACAAUAGAUUGACAUCCCUUGGAUCAGUUGAACUAGUCUCUAUGCUUACACUGCAGUAUCUUAAUCUUCAGUUUAAUAGGAUUUCCCAUUCUUUUAUGAUACCCUCUUGGGUAUGCUGUGACAUGAGGGAAAAUGGUGAAAUUCCUUUGAAGAGUGACAAGCUACAACGUCUAGCUCAUACCGCACAGAAAAUGAAGAAGGGCUGGAAGCGACGGGAUUGCCUGCAACAGCAGGCUCGCCACGAGCGUUUGGAGUCCAGCAGGAGCAGGCUUUGUGAAAAUGACAUUGAUGAAAUGGCUGUGAACAUGACUGAAGAUGAUAUGGAAAACAGGCCAGUGAUGAAAGACAUUGUUGAAGAAAGUUCAGCACAGGAUUUGAAAGAAACAAGUUCUAUAUCUGAAGACCUAUCUUGCAUAAUCGAUUAUGACUCAGAUGGGCUUAUAAAAGAUAGUGGCAUGAUGCUUCAGGACCAAUAUGGCGAUGGAAAAACUGGAAUAAAUAUGAGAAGUUGUCAUGACAACAAUUCUGGUAUCAGCACCGAUCCAGCUUGUUUGGGCAGUAUUGAAAAUGAACUUGAGGAUACCGCUUCAUCAACCCGCAAUGCAGUUGAAGUUGUUGAAGAGAACACUUCAGAGGCAUCUAAGCUUACACUGAAAUCUAAAAGGCAUCCUGAUAUGGACAAUAAUCCCAAACCCAGCAAAUGCCCAAGACCAAUUGAUGAAUCCUCGAAGUUAUCCUAUAAGUACAGCGUGGAGUCAUUUUGCAGCAUAGAUGACCAUUUACCGGAUGGAUUUUAUGACGCGGGGCGAGAUAUGCCGUUCAUGCCAUUAGAGGAGUACGAACGGAGUCUCGGACUGUAUGCGCGUGAAGUUAUUCUUUUGGACAGAGAACAAGAUGAAGAAUUGGACGCAAUUGCUUCUUCAGCACAACUGUUGUUAUCCAGUUUGAAGAGGCCAAGUUAUUCCGAAACAGAUGAAGAUGCAGGUCAGGACUUGCUAAGGGCAUCAGUUCUUGCUUUGUUUGUCUCUGACUGUUUUGGAGGUUGUGAUCGAAGUGCUUCUCUGAGGAGAACACGGGGAGCUAUUGUUAGCUUGAGGAAGGAGCAACCAUUCAUUUGUACUUGUGCUGCCGGUAGCAUGUGUGAUAGCAAUGAAGCAUCAAAACAAGCCAGUACCCCUCCCGGGCACUUCAAUUUUACUGGUCUCUGUGAUAAAUCAAUACACAUCAUUAAGGAAAGGAAUAAUUCAGGCAUUGUACCAAUAGGGGCAUUGCAGUUUGGUGUUUGCAGGCACCGAGCUGUCCUAAUGAAGUAUUUGUGUGACCGGGCGGACCCUCCAAUUCCUUGUGAGCUUGUGAGGGGGCAUCUUGACUACACGCCUCAUGCUUGGAAUGUUGUCCCUAUUAGACAAGGGAAUAUCUUGGUAAGGAUGAUUGUUGAUGCGUGUUACCCCACGAACAUAAAGGAAGAGACGGAUCCAGAGUACUUCUGCAGGUAUGUUCCCCUCAGUCGACUGCACGUUGCGCUUGAUGAUGAAGGCUAUACACCUCGGUCUUCCUUCCCUUCGGUCUCACUAUGCAAAGAAAUUGAAGCUACAGCUUCCAGCGCUGUCUACCACUGCAAAAUUGGUUCAGUUGAUGCAGCAGCAAAGAUACGGUACCUAGAUACCCGGCGUGCUUCUAAUGAUGAAGUAAAAAAAUUUGAAUACAAGCUUCUUGGGGAAGUAAGAAUGAUGAAUGCUCUAAGGAAGCACAGAUCCAUAGUGGACAUAUAUGGUCACCAACUUUCUUCUAAAUGGGUUCAAGAUGAUAGUGAUAAGGAGUACAGGAUAAUGCAGUCUGUAAUUUUAAUGGAAUAUGUGAAAGGAGGUUCACUGAAGGGCUAUUUGACAAAACUACUGAAAGAGGGCAAGAAACAUGUACCUGUGGACCUGGCAUUUUACAUUGCUCGAGAAGUUGCUUCUGCUUUGUUGGAGAUGCACAGGAAGCUAGUUAUUCACCGGGACAUAAAAAGCGAGAAUGUUUUGGUUGAUUUGGAUUCGAAGAGGAGUCAUGGGACACCAGUAGUCAAACUCUCUGAUUUCGACAGAUCCAUUCCUUUGCAUUCUCUAUCCCAUACAUGCUGUAUAGCUCACCUUGGCACAUAUCCACCCAAUGUUUGUGUUGGGACACCUUGUUGGAUGGCUCCAGAGGUUCUUCAGGCCAUGCAUGAGAAAACCCAGUAUGGACUGGAAGUGGAUAUCUGGUCAUAUGGGUGUUUUAUAUUCGAGAUGCUUACACUUCGCAUACCCUACGAGGGACUACCAGAUUCAGAAAUAUAUGAUCUCAUAAAGAGGAAGAAACAAAGGCCAAGGCUAACUAAAGAAUUAGAAGCGUUCUGGACAGUGGACGAGCCAAUUACAAGGCUGAAGUUGGGGAUCACAUCUGAUGCUCAUGCAGAGAAACUAAGAUUUCUAAUUGAUCUAUUCUACCAGUGCACCAGAGGAACUGCAUCUAGGCGCCCCAAGGCCGAGCAAAUUUACAAUUCGCUUUGCUCCUUACCCACAUGCUAUGACCUGAGCUGA